UUGUAAGCGUAUACCAAAGUUGUUGCAGUUAAAACGCUCGUAGUCGGAAUUUGGCAGUUCCGGAUGUGUGCACGUCGUGUGCGCACUUCGCGGGGAUUGCUUUUGUGGUCUUGCGUAGGAUGAGGCACUUUUAUUAGUGAACGUCCUCACGCAACCACUUUUUACUGUGAGAAAAUCAGAGUGCUCAAAGCAGGCAUUUGCCGUGAAUGUAUUAGCAUGGAAUAAUAGAAUAGGACUUGGUUCUAUUUUGUUGGUUUGUUGGGACUGAGUAAUGAUUAAGAGGGACAGUUGGGGGCAUUUGUAUUUCGGUGCUAGAGGUGAAAUUCUUAGAUUACCGAAAGACAAACUGCUGCGAAAGCGUCUGCCAAGGAUGUUUUCAUUGA
rnacentral:rRNA from 1 species